rnacentral:rRNA from 1 species
GACAGAGGCCUCGAGCGUUAGGCGGAAUCACUGGGCUUAAAGCGUGUGUAGGCGGAUGCCUAAGUACCUUGUGAAAUCCCACGGCUCACCCGUGGAACCGCUGGGUAUACUGGGCAUCUUGGGCCAUUCAGGGGCAACUGGAACAAGCGGUGGAGCGGUGAAAUGCGUAGAUAUCGCUUGGAACGCCGACGGUGAAAACAGGUUGCUGGGAAUGUGCCGACGCUGAGACACGAAAGCCAGGGGAGCAAACGGG